CGCCAUCUAGGCUUAAUGCAACCUCGCCUCCCGGGUUCAAGCGAUUUUUCCCGCCCCAGUCUCCCGAGUAACUGUGACUGCAGCUCUGGAUUAAUCGAAUUACAGCUGCUAGCCAGGAACAUGGACUGAAGUAUCCAGCGCUCAUUGGGAAUUUAGUUAAGUGCCAGGUGGAGCUCAACAGGAAAGUCCUAGCGGAUCUGGCCAUCUACGAGCCAAAGACUUUCAAAUCUUUGGCUGCCUUGGCCAGUAGGAGGCGACACGAAGGAUUUGCUGCUGCCUUGGGGGAUGGGAAGGAACCUGAAGGCAUUUUUUCCAGAGUGGUGCAGUACCACUGAGGACUGUUGCUGUAUUGAUUAGGAAAAGAGACAGAGUAAUUUGCAGUUUGUUUGAUUUAUACUUUUGUUUAUCUACAUCCCAAUAACAGACAUGAGGGAUGGCCCUGUCUCUCUGGGACAGAGCCUCACAGAUGACGUCCAUGUUUUGUGUGAAUGAAACUCAAACACUC
rnacentral:sRNA from 1 species